UUACGAUAUGUACACAUGUACAUCAUGCACACGUGCAGAUUUGCGGUAUAUACACGUGUACAUAAGUGUGCACAGUAUGUACAUAUGUACACUACACAUAUGUUCAUAUAAUGUAGAUAUGUACCUUCUGUACAGGAGUACACAGUAUGUACAAUAUGUACACGUAUAUACUAGGUACACAUAUAGGUGUAUACCCACUUUGGUAACCGGAGAGAUUUCUAUCUAAUAUACUAAAUAUAAAAUCCCAGAAUGUAGUCAUAGUGUGUACAUUUAUUGUCGUAUUGUGAUAAAUGUAUUAAAUAGGCACAAUCUGUACAUGUACUCUGCUGUACAUAGGUGUACACAAUGCACAUGUACAAAAAAUGUACAUAAUCUGUAAAAUAUGUACCUAUAUAUUUCUAUAAUGUGUACACAAUGCAUAGGUACAUAAUGUGUACACUAUGCACAUUCCUUAAAAUAUCAGUGAUAAAAUAUAUAUAAUCACAGUAAGAUAUAUAAUCACACUAAUACAUAUAUGUCGUGUAAUAUCACCAAAAAGUACGUAUUGUACACAUUAGGUAUGUAUUAGGUACAUAUGUAUAGUGCACAUAUUAUGAAAAUAUAUAUGUAUCAUGAUAACACCGUAUGUACACGUAUACAAAUAUGUGCCUACUAUUUAAACAAUGUACACAUGCAGAAAUAGGUGCAAACUACAUACCUAUGCACAGCAGGCUAUUACUACAGUUCUGCUCGUAGCAGCCUCAAUGCCCACCCUGGCUGCUUAAAGACCCCCUGGCUAGGGGGCUGUACCCACAGCCCCCGCCAGAGGGCCCAUAACAGCUACCAGGCCCACGCUGGCUGCUUAGGGACCCCCUGCCUAGGGCGCUGUGCCCACAGCUGCUGGGGCCCGGCUAUUUUGAAAAUGUGGUGUAAUAUGAUACUGGCAACCAUAUCACACAGAAAUGAUAAUGUUAUUGUGGUUCUUUACAUAUUAGGCAAUAGUUCUAGUUACACAUUUGGCAUAUUGACAAAAAUGUCAUCCUCACCCCAUUGACAUUAGAAUUGAAAGCAUAGGAGGGUUUCACCCCUUGCAAUGUUUAAUUCAAUAUAAUUGUUUUCUUGUUUACAUUAGUGACCAUAUCAGAGCACGGUGUACAUCUCUUGCAGUAUUCAGAAUAUUUCUCUAUGGGCAGCAACAUUUUUCUCUCCUUAUCUGGAUAUUAGGAAGAAUAUCACAGGACCGGCUUACAGCGCCAGUCACAUCUGACCAUAUCAGAGCACAGUGUACUCCUCUUGCCGUAUUCAGAGGAUUUGCCUAUGGGCAGCAACAUUAUUCUCUCGUUCUCUGGAUAUUAGGAACAAUAUCACAGGACCGGCGGACAGCCCCAGUCAUAUCUGACCAUAUCACAGCACGGUGUACUCCUCUUGCCGUAUUCAGAGGAUUUGCCUAUGGGCAGAAACAUUCUCCUCUCCUUAUCUGGAUAUUAGAAACAUUAUCACAGGACCGGCAAACAGCCGCAGUCAUAUCGUGAGUAAUGUCAUCUGUAAUCCCCUAGUUAUAGAAAACAACAUCACGGGGGUCUUGUGCACUUUAUGAGAUACUUAGAGUAAUGUUAGGAUUUGGGUAUUUUACAUGAGAGAGCAUAUUGAGUUUGUGUAUAUACUCCAAAACAGAGUAGAAAAGGGCAUUGUAUAUUUUUUCUGACAGAUUAUAUUCAGAGGAAUUUUGCUUUUAACAUUGGGAUGCCUAGAUAAUAUUUAGAUUUUUUCGAUUCACGUAAAUUUACAAUUUCGGUAUUUUACAUGAGAGAGCAUAUUGAGUAGGUGUAUAUACUCCAAAACAGAGUAGAAAAAAGCAUUGUAUAUUUUUUCUGACAGAUUAUAUUCAGAGCCAUUUUGCUUUUAACAAUUGGGGUGCUUAGAUAAUAUUUAGAUUUUUUUCGAUUCGCGUAAAAUUAGAAUUUUCGUAUUUUACAUAAGAGAGCAUAUUGAGUUGGUGUAUAUACCCCAAAACACAGCA